rnacentral:rRNA from 1 species
GCUAUGUAUUAAAGGGUAUGAUUUAUUUACUGAAAUUAAGAAUUUAGUGUAAAGAAUAAUUUCUAUUAAGGCAGGCUCCGUCUUCGGAUGGAGUGGUCUAGUAUAAAUUGUUCUUAUAACCUAAAAACUUAUUUUAAAUAUAAACCCUAAGAGAAGUUUUUUAAUAAACGAAGUGAAUUGAAAUAUCUUAGUAACUUCAGGAAAAGAAAUCAAAAGAGAUUCUACGAUUAGCGUGAGUGAAAGUAGAGAAGCCUAUAUAUUAAUAAGUAAAAUGGUUUAGAAACUGUUUGAAUUUAUAGCCGACCUAGAGUCGGUCUCGGGGAACCUUCCUCAAAGGCUAAAUAUAAUACAUAAGCGAUAGUGAACAGUAUCAUGAGAGAACGAUUAGAAAUAGUAGUUUUAUAAGCAGUUCGAGCAAAAUAAAUAAGUGAGAACGUACCUUUUGCAUAAUGGGUCACCAAGUUAACAUUAGAUGCGAGUGAAAGCGUAGAUAAACCAAUCGUUAAAAUAACGAAUAGUGUCUAAAGUUAGACCCGAAGCCUGGUGAUUUUACCACAAUCAGGAUUAUAAAAGUCCGAACGGGUUAUCGUUGUAAAGAUAUCCGAAGAAUUGUGGUAGGUAGUGAAAGACAACACUGACUAGGAUAGCUGGUUUUCUGCGAAACCUAUAACAGUAGGCAAUUUGAGUACAUCUUAGCAGGUACAGAAUUUAAUCUCAGACAAGAUGUUUUCAUUUUAGUUUGGCUACGAAGUCGGCGCGGUAAAACCGCUCGACUCCAUGCUUGAACUAAAACAACAUGUUGAUUUGUAUAUAUCGGGGGAUCGUGAAGAUUUUAUCGGUGAGUAUGUAGACUCGGAAUGGCAAAGAUGGAUCUUGAAUUAUCAGACAUAGAAUGAUAAGGUUGUAUGUCAAAAGGGAAACAGCCCAGAACAAGAGUUAAGGUUCCAAAAUUAUUAGUUGAGUGAAAUUAAGAAAGUUUUUAUUAAAGUCGACAAGGAGAUAGGCUUAGAAGCAGCCAAAUUUUGAAGACCUCGUAACAGAGCGCUUGUUAAGUUUUAAAAGCAUCGAAAAUUUAACGGAUCUAAACAAUAUACCGACACCUUGUCCAUAUUUUACACUAUAUAUUAUUGUAAUUUUGUGGGGUAGCAGAACGUUGAAUGAAAUUAAGAUAUUUCUUCUGUGAAGAAAUAUAUAACAAACAAUUCAAGUGAGAAUGGUGACAUGAGUAACGAAUAAGAAGGACACGAAAAGAGCGGCUUCGCAGCCGGGAACAAGGUAAAAACUUGUGAUCGGCCUUUUCAAAUCCUCCGCCUAAAGCUUAUGGAUGGGAAGAUCCCCUUAAAGUAACGGCCUCUAAGUUAUAAAUCUAAAGGUUUAAACGAUGAGAAAAUCUUUUUUACUAAAUGACAACAUUUAGGUUCCCCCUCCUACCUCCUCAAUUCAUUGAGGAGGUGCUAGGGGGAAUAAGUGAUAAGUGUGCUGGAAAAAAUAGUAAUAUAUCUUAUUGCUGUGGCUGCUACAAAGUCUCUAGCCUUUGGCUACGAUCUGCGUAGCCAAGCCACAGCUAAAAAAUAAGAUGAAAAAAUAACCGUACCUAGAAACUAAAACAAGUAAGCUAGUAGAGAAUACGAAGGCGUAAAUGAGCUAACAAUCAUAAAGGAACUCGGCAAACUAACUACCGUAACUUCGGGAUAAGGAGAGCUCAUUAGUCCUGAUUAAUAUCGGGUAAAAAGGAAGAAGCAUAAAAUAGUGUUGUACGACUGUUUAAUUAAAACACAGCACUUUGCUAAAAGAUUAAAAAUCGAAGUAUUGAGUGUGAUGUCUGCCCGAUGCCGGCUGGUUAACGAAUUUAACUAAAUUAUCAAAAGAUUUGGUGUUGAAGGAACCCCCGGUUAAUGGCGGCCUUAACGUGAGGGUCCUAAGGUAGCGAAAUGCCUUGGCCGUUAAAUGCGGUCUUGCAUGAAUGAUGUAACGAUACAACAGCUGUCUCUAUGAUUGACUCAGUGAAAUUGGAAUAACUGUGCAGAUACAGUUUACCUCUAGUUAGACGAGAAGACCCUAUGCAGCUUUACUGUUACUAAUUAUAGGGUAUGAUGAAUUAAUUUUCAGAUUAUAAGGUACAUUGAUUCAAUAAAAAUGAAAAUCCUUUAUUUUCACAUCAUAUUUCAGAAUUAAUUCUUUUGCAUCCUCCGGGCACUUGUGAUGCAACAAACGACUCCAUGCUGGCUAGCUAGCCAGCAUGCAGCCAAGACGGAGAGUUCUCCGACUUCGUACGUAGCGCUGGAUUUAUCCAAAUCUACGUAAGCGACGCAAGAAAGCUAGAGGAAAGAAAGUAUUACCCUAAUCUGACAUAAGCCUUGGGUAAGGAAUAUAUUGUUAGGAGACAGUUUAUGUGGGGCACAGGCCCCUUAAAGAGUAAAAGGGAGUGUCUAAAAAUUAUUUGUUAUAAGGGCGUGCUUCGCGACUUCGUUUCGCAAGCUCUGCUUUUAUAACGUUGUUUGUGAUUUUAUGUAGUUUUACUAUAUUUAAUCUUAUAAAAUUAUUCCUAUCUACCCUGGCUGUAGAUAGGGAUGGAUAUUAGGUACGAUUUUCACUAUAGUGAAAGUAGCGGUAGAAAAAAAAUAGUAUGAAAUUUUUCUACUAUUUUGGAGUUAUUAAGAGGUUCUCUUAAUAAUAAUGAUAAAUACCUGAAAAGCUCAACGGCUUAUUCGUGCCAUACUGUUUGAUUAACAACAAAUCUUACAGUUGCGUAAGCAGGGCAUAGGAUCACAAGAUGCAAAAAGGAAAGAUCUUGGAUUAUUGGAAAAGCUACGCUAGGGAUGUUUGUCCUUCAAUAUUUUUAGGGUCUCUGACCAGAAAUUAUUGAUAAUAUAUUGGGUUAAUUUC